AUAAAGUAUUAAAGGUAUCGCCUGCCCAGUGAAACAAUUUUUAAACGGCCGCGGGAUCCUCCACCGUGCAAAGGUAGCAUAAUCACUUGUCCCCUAAAUAGUGACUAGUAUGAACGGUCAAAUGAAGAUUUAACUGUCUCUUAUAAAUAAUCUAUUAAAUUAAUCUUCCAGUACAAAAACUGGAAUAAACACAUAAGACGAAAAGACCCUGUGGAACUUCAAGCUUAAAACCACUAUAAUGAACUUAAAGCUUUUAGUUGGGGCAACUCUGGAAAAAAACAAAACUUCUAGCCACAUAUAUGAUAGACAUAUCUACCAAAACUUAUCAGACCCAGUCUAACUGAUUAAAGAACCAAGCUACCCCAGGGAUAACAGCGCCAUCCCCUCCAAGAGCCCAAAUCGACGAGUGGGGUUUACGACCUCGAUGUUGGAUCAGGGCCCCCAAACAGUGCAACAGCUGUUAAUGGUUUGUUUGUUCAACAAUUAAUGCCCUACGUGAUCUGAGU
rnacentral:rRNA from 1 species